GUCAGUCAGUGCUUUGACCCUAGCAACUGAAACUGUGCGGAGCAUCCUGAAAAUUGAUGAUGUGGUAAAUACUCGAUAAUCUGGAUAAGGCUGGCUGACUGCACCAUUAUGGACAGAAGUACUGUGGCUGGAAUGGAGGAUGACUGCCUCGUUCCUUGUCUAGAAGCUUGCUGCUUAAGAGUUUUUGGACAUUGUCUUCCAGUUGGCAUCUGUUUGAAAUUGUAUUGAAACAAUUUAAUAAAAACUUGGUUUUAAACUCCA